rnacentral:rRNA from 1 species
CCCAGACUCCUACGGGAGGCAGCAGUGGGGGAUAUUGCACAAUGGGGGAAACCCUGAUGCAGCGACGCCGCGUGGGCGAAGAAGUAUUUCGGUAUGUAAAGCCCUAUCAGCAGGGAAGAAGAAAUGACGGUACCUGAGUAAGAAGCACCGGCUAAAUACGUGCCAGCAGCCGCGGUAAUACGUAUGGUGCAAGCGUUAUCCGGAUUUACUGGGUGUAAAGGGAGCGCAGGCGGCACGGCAAGCCUGAUGUGAAAGGCCGCGGCCCAACCGCGGGACUGCAUUGGGAACUGGCGCGCUGGAGUGCCGGAGGGGUAGGCGGAAUUCCUAGUGUAGCGGUGAAAUGCGUAGAUAUUAGGAGGAACACCAGUGGCGAAGGCGGCCUACUGGACGGUGACUGACGCUGAGGCUCGAAAGCGUGGGGAGCAAACAGGAUUAGA